rnacentral:rRNA from 1 species
GAUGAACGCUGGCGGCGUGCCUAAUACAUGCAAGUCGAGCGAACAGACGAGGAGCUUGCUCCUCUGACGUUAGCGGCGGACGGGUGAGUAACACGUGGAUAACCUACCUAUAAGACUGGGAUAACUUCGGGAAACCGGAGCUAAUACCGGAUAAUAUAUUGAACCGCAUGGUUCAAUAGUGAAAGACGGUUUUGCUGUCACUUAUAGAUGGAUCCGCGCCGCAUUAGCUAGUUGGUAAGGUAACGGCUUACCAAGGCAACGAUGCGUAGCCGACCUGAGAGGGUGAUGGCCCCCCCGGGAACUGAGACCCGGCCCAGCUCCCUAGGGGGGGCAGCAGUAGGAAAUUUUCCGAAAUGGGCGAAAGCCUGAGGGAGAAACGCCGGGGGGGUGAUGAAGGUUUUCGGAUCGAAAAACUUUGUUAUUGGGGAAAAAAAAAUGGGUAAGUAACUAUGCACGUUUUGACGGUACCUAAACAAAAAGCCCCGGCUAACUACGG